rnacentral:rRNA from 1 species
AGCUCGUAGUUGGAUUUUGGGCGCAGGCGGCCGGUCCGUCGCAAGGCGUGUACUGGCCGUCCUGGCCUCACCUCCGGUUCUCCGCCGGUGCCCUUGACUGAGUGUCGGCGGCGGCCGGAACGUUUACUUUGAAAAAAUUAGAGUGUUCAAAGCAGGCGAUUCGCCUGAAUAAUGGUGCAUGGAAUAAUGGAAUAGGACCUCGGUUCUAUUUUGUUGGUUUUCGGAGCGCGAGGUAAUGAUUAAGAGGGACAGACGGGGGCAUUCGUACUGUGCCGUUAGAGGUGAAAUUCUUGGAUCGGCGCAAGACGAACGACUGCGAAAGCAUUUGCCAAGAAUGUUUUCUUUAAUCAAGAGCGAAAGUCAGAGGUUCGAAGACGAUCAGAUACCGUCCUAGUUCUGACUAUAAACGAUGCCAACUAGCGAUCGGGGGGCGUUAGUUUUACGACCUCUCCGGCAGCUUGCGGGAAACCAAAGUCUUUGGGUUCCGGGGGAAGUAUGGUUGCAAAGCUGAAACUUAAAGGAAUUGACGGAAGGGCACCACCAGGAGUGGAGCCUGCGGCUUAAUUUGACUCAACACGGGAAAUCUCACCCGGCCCGGACACAGUGAGGAUUGACAGAUUGAGAGCUCUUUCUUGAUUCUGUGGGUGGUGGUGCAUGGCCGUUCUUAGUUGGUGGAGCGAUUUGUCUGGUUAAUUCCGAUAACGAACGAGACUCUGGCUUGCUAACUAGUUACGCGACCCAAUCGGUCGGCGUCUAACUUCUUAGAGGGACUAGUGGCGUUUAGCCACACGAGAUUGAGCAAUAACAGGUCUGUGAUGCCCUUAGAUGUUCGGGGCCGCACGCGCGCUACACUGACCGGAUCAGCAUGUGCUCGCCUUGGCCGACAGGUCUGGGUAACCCGCUGAAC